CCGGAACUAAACCAAAUAAUGGAAAACAGGAACUCAGAAGGGCAGACACGUGACAUACAUAAAUUAUACAUGAAAAUUAUAUGUCGCCUUAGAGGUUCGACACAACCUCAUGGAUGUCUCUGAAAUGCUGAAUGAUGGAAACCCUAAGUUGCUUGUGAUGUACAAGAUCCAAAAGCUUAAACAUACGCUGAUGUCGGUGAAGUCGAGAGAUGAUGCAGCUACACUGAAGCAGAUUUUCCUGCUGCUGAUGCAGUCUUCAGAACCCAAAGCGUCUGACCUCCAGGCCUCCAGUCCUCCACCGGACAUCAACA